rnacentral:lncRNA from 1 species
ACCCCAUCAUAAAGGCAGUAUUACAGCACUUAGCACAUCAUGGGUGCUCAAUAAAUACUACAGAACGUCAUUUCCAGUCCAUACAUGUGAGAAGACAGUGCAGGCUCUAAACCUCUGACAUCACAGGACAUGUCUCUAUGAAUGUGAAGCACAUCAAGCUGGAUGAAGACAGCUUCAGUUCCUCCACAAGACACUUUUUCUGGAUAUUGUUGGGAGACAAUUCUCUGGAGGUCUCUGACAUUUCCAUACAUCUUGUGAGCAAAGGCACAUACUGCCACACUUCCAAUGCUUUCAACAAUGUCUGUAUAAUGAAAAGUCUUAGAAGACAGGAAUAAUGGCUCUCUCUGCAAAAGGCAAGCAUCCCUAUUACCCAUUAUAAAAGCUUUGGGUUCCUAAGCUUAGGGAUCUUCUCCUGGAAAGUCGCCCCUGUAAGUGCAGGUGUC